rnacentral:piRNA from 1 species
UGGCCACAUGAACCAGGUACCUGAAGGGGGU